rnacentral:lncRNA from 1 species
UAAGUGCUCUUUUACCCCAGAAACAUUAAUUCCAGGAAACAAAGAAAGAAACCAAAAUAUUUUAUAGGGUGUUAAUGUUGUUAUGAGGCAUCCUAAGAGAGCUAGACUCCUAAAUCCAGCUCUGAUAGUUAUAAGCAAUUUCAAGAGAAGUCUAUUUCUCAUUGUUUAAUGCAAAAUUGUAAAUUUCUAAGUAGUCUUAUCAUACUUAGUUUUUCAAGAACAAGAUUAUGUCUUAAAGUAUUGAGUUUUCAAAAAUUUUAAAGAUACCACAUGAUAUUUUUAAUUCAUAAGGCUUCUUUUUCUGUCUUUGCUAAACUAAAUUCAACUUCUUUGAUUUCAGAACUGAUGAGUUGAUUAAAAAAUAAUCUGUGAGAAAUUUGCCCAGUGCACUGUGCUGACCAUCACACACAGAUUGAACACCAUUAUUGACAGCGACACAAUAAUGGUUUUGGAUUCAGAGAGCCUGGAAGAAUAUGAUGAGCCGUAUGUUUUGGUGCAAAAUAGAGACAGACUAUUUCACAAGAUGGUGCAAGAGUUAGACAAGAGCGAGGCCACCGCCCUCACUGAAAGAGCAAGACAGCUUCUUUGAGAGUGCAGUUGAAAAUAGACUAUUUAAAAGGAAUGAAGGUAAGUCUCUUAUGCAAAAUCAAAAAAGAAUUUUAAAAUUCUUUAUGCUCGGGAAGAGUGCUUCAGCUUUUUUAACCC